CGAAGUCAAGCAUCAUUGGGCGCGGUCAGUACUUGGGUGGGUGACCACUUGGGAACACCGCGUGCCGUU